GUCAGGAUGGACGAGUGGUCAAACUCAAGACUCAAGACUCGCCAGACUCAAGGAUCCUCUCAAGGAUCAAGGAUCCUCUCCUUCCAGAUUCAGUGGGAAUUCUGGUCUCUAGAUGGAGGCGUGGGUUCAAAUCCCGCUCCUGACA
rnacentral:tRNA from 1 species